rnacentral:rRNA from 1 species
GACGUAGGGCGCGAGCGUUGUCCGGAUUUAUUGGGCGUAAAGAGCUCGUAGGCGGCUUGUUGCGUCGACUGUGAAAACCCGCGGCUUAACUGCGGGCUUGCAGUUGAUACGGGCAGGCUAGAGUUCGGUAGGGGAGACUGGAAUUCCUGGUGUAGCGGUGAAAUGCGCAGAUAUCAGGAGGAACACCGGUGGCGAAGGCGGGUCUCUGGGCCGAUACUGACGCUGAGGAGCGAAAGCGUGGGGAGCGAACAGG